rnacentral:rRNA from 1 species
CCUACGGGGGGCAGCAGUCGAGAAUCAUUCACAAUGGGGGAAACCCUGAUGGUGCGACGCCGCGUGGGGGAAUGAAGGUCUUCGGAUUGUAAACCCCUGUCAUGUGGGAGCAAAUUAAAAAGAUAGUACCACAAGAGGAAGAGACGGCUAACUCUGUGCCAGCAGCCGCGGUAAUACAGAGGUCUCAAGCGUUGUUCGGAAUCACUGGGCGUAAAGCGUGCGUAGGCUGUUUCGUAAGUCGUGUGUGAAAGGCGCGGGCUCAACCCGCGGACGGCACAUGAUACUGCGAGACUAGAGUAAUGGAGGGGGAACCGGAAUUCUCGGUGUAGCAGUGAAAUGCGUAGAUAUCGAGAGGAACACUCGUGGCGAAGGCGGGUUCCUAGACAUUAACUGACGCUGAGGCACGAAGGCCAGGGGAGCGAAAGGGAUUAGAUACCCUUGUAGUC